GCUCAGGACGAACGCUGGCGGCGUGCCUAAUACAUGCAAGUCGAACGAACGGAGGAAGAGCUUGCUCUUCCAAAGUUAGUGGCGGACGGGUGAGUAACACGUGGGCAACCUGCCUGUAAGUUGGGGAUAACUCCGGGAAACCGGGGCUAAUACCGAAUGAUAAAGUGUGGCGCAUGCCACGCUUUUGAAAGAUGGUUUCGGCUAUCGCUUACAGAUGGGCCCGCGGUGCAUUAGCUAGUUGGUAGGGUAAUGGCCUACCAAGGCAACGAUGCAUAGCCGACCUGAGAGGGUGAUCGGCCACACUGGGACUGAGACACGGCCCAGACUCCUACGGGAGGCAGCAGUAGGGAAUCUUCCGCAAUGGACGAAAGUCUGACGGAGCAACGCCGCGUGUAUGAAGAAGGUUUUCGGAUCGUAAAGUACUGUUGUUAGAGAAGAACAAGGAUAAGAGUAACUGCUUGUCCCUUGACGGUAUCUAACCAGAAAGCCACGGCUAACUACGUGCCA
rnacentral:rRNA from 1 species